AUCACUUCACUGCCUUUUGGCUAAGAUCAAGUGCAGUAUCUGUUCUUAUUAGUUUAAUCUGAUACAUCCUCUGCAUGAGGACUACAUAUUAAAAGCGCGGUGGCUAGCGCUG
ensembl:snRNA U2 U2 spliceosomal RNA